AUGGCGGCUGGGACGGGCAGGGUGCUGCCGCUGCUGGCCGUGGCGGCGGCGCUCGCGGCCGCGCUCCUCUACACCGCGCCCUUCUCCAAGAGCCUGGGCGGCGAAGGGUGCAGCCUGCUCCCGCACGGCCACUUCUGGAUCGCCAGCCAGCGGGUCGUCGCGCUCGGCCGCGUCGGCCCCGCCGCAGUUGAGGUGAAGGAAGGUCUGAUCAACGCCAUCGCCGUCGGGGACUACCGGAGCUUCGUGCUCCGCCGCCCGCUCGUCGACUACGGGGACGCCGUCAUCAUGCCCGGCCUCAUCGACGUGCACGCGCAUCUCGACGAGCCUGGACGGGAGGAGUGGGAGGGGUUCUCCACCGGCACAAGAGCCGCCGCCGCAGGUGGCAUAACCACUUUGGUGGACAUGCCUCUCAACAGCUUCCCUUCCACGGUCUCUGAAGAAACUCUCAAACUCAAGGUGGAUGCAGCUCGGGAUAAGCUGUAUGUCGAUGUCGGGUUUUGGGGAGGCCUUGUACCUGAGAACGCCUUAAACCCAAGCAAAUUGGAGAGCCUGCUAAAUGCAGGGGUGUUAGGACUUAAGUCUUUUAUGUGCCCCUCUGGCAUCAACGACUUCCCCAUGACAAAUUCAAGUCACAUCGAGGAGGGCCUCGUUACAUUGGCAAAGUACAAAAGGCCCUUACUUAUCCACGCAGAACGCAUACCGGAUGUGUCGAGCGAUGAGGAGCUUGAUGGCGAAUUAGAUCCUCGAUCAUACGCAACAUACCUGAAGUCUAGAACUCCAGCAUGGGAGGAAUCAGCCGUUAGAGAUUUGAAACGUGCCAUGAAGGACACCGAGGUGGGAGGCCGGUCAGAAGGAGCUCAUCUUCACAUUGUUCAUCUCUCAGAUUCAAAAACUACCCUCGACCUUCUGAAGGAUGCAAAACACAGCGGCGCAAAAGUCACUAUAGAAACCUGUCCUCACUACCUCGCAUUUUCGGCCGAGGAAGUCGCAGAUGGGGACACUCGUUUCAAGUGCUCUCCUCCCAUACGUGACGCCGCCAACAAGGAAGACCUCUGGGAAGCUCUGCUUGAUGGACACAUUGACAUGCUCAGCUCGGACCACUCACCGUCAACUCCUGAUCUCAAGCUAAUGGAGGAAGGCAACUUCAUGAAGGCAUGGGGAGGUAUCUCGUCUCUGCAGUUUGUGCUCCCUGUAACAUGGUCACAUGGGAAAAAGUACGGCAUCACUCUGAAUCAGCUAGCCUCGUGGUGGAGCGAGAAGCCCGCCGAGCUUGCGGGGCAGAAGAAUAAGGGGUCUAUUCUGCCGGGGUACCACGCUGACAUCGUUGUGUGGAAACCCGAGGCGCAGUUCCAUCUCGACGACACUCAUGCCGUAUACCACAAGCACCGGAACAUCUCGGCUUACCUAGGGAAGGAGCUAUCGGGCAAGGUCCUGUCGACUUUCGUGAGGGGGAACCUGGUUUUCGCCGAAGGGAGGCACGCCGGGGCUGCCUGCGGCGCCACCAUCCUCGCCAAGUAA
rnacentral:rRNA from 1 species